rnacentral:lncRNA from 1 species
UUUUUUUUUUAUUUUUUUUUAUUUUUUUUUUUUUAGAAAUCACAAGAAAAUCCAAAAUGCAAAUCAUUAAAAUCCACACAAAUGCAAAGUGCUAGAUAUGUCAAAUGCAAAUCAUCCAAAUAAAACCAAGCAAAAUGAUCAGUUUUUAUAGUACCUCCACCACACCCGAAUCACACAGUCUCUUGUGUGACUUUGAAUUUGGAGUGGUUUACAUGAUAAGUAAAAUAAAAAUUACUAGAGAUGUGGAGAGAUUUUAAACCGGAUUAGAGUAGUUACCUUGUGACUGCAGGGACAUGAGCAUGUCACUAUGGAUAUGUCGCUACGGUCCUUAGCCAAAUAUUGCAUUCUCCUCGUUUCGUCGUAGCAACAUGAGUAUGUCGCUAUGCACGUCGCUAAGGUUGUCCGUAAAGGGUUAUAGCGACAUGUGUGGGUCGCUAUGAGCAUGUCUCCACAGCACUUGUGUUUCUUUCC